ACGAACGCUGGCGGCGUGCCUAAUACAUGCAAGUCGAACGCUUCUUUUUCCACCGGAGCUUGCUCCACCGGAAAAAGAGGAGUGGCGAACGGGUGAGUAACACGUGGGUAACCUGCCCAUCAGAAGGGGAUAACACUUGGAAACAGGUGCUAAUACCGUAUAACAAUCGAAACCGCAUGGUUUUGAUUUGAAAGGCGCUUUCGGGUGUCGCUGAUGGAUGGACCCGCGGUGCAUUAGCUAGUUGGUGAGGUAACGGCUCACCAAGGCGACGAUGCAUAGCCGACCUGAGAGGGUGAUCGGCCACAUUGGGACUGAGACACGGCCCAAACUCCUACGGGAGGCAGCAGUAGGGAAUCUUCGGCAAUGGACGAAAGUCUGACCGAGCAACGCCGCGUGAGUGAAGAAGGUUUUCGGAUCGUAAAACUCUGUUGUUAGAGAAGAACAAGGAUGAGAGUAACUGUUCAUCCCUUGACGGUAUCUAACCAGAAAGCCACGGCUAACUACGUGCCAGCAGCCGCGGUAAUACGUAGGUGGCAAGCGUUGUCCGGAUUUAUUGGGCGUAAAGCGAGCGCAGGCGGUUUCUUAAGUCUGAUGUGAAAGCCCCCGGCUCAACCGGGGAGGGUCAUUGGAAACUGGGAGACUUGAGUGCAGAAGAGGAGAGUGGAAUUCCAUGUGUAGCGGUGAAAUGCGUAGAUAUAUGGAGGAACACCAGUGGCGAAGGCGGCUCUCUGGUCUGUAACUGACGCUGAGGCUCGAAAGCGUGGGGAGCAAACAGGAUUAGAUACCCUGGUAGUCCACGCCGUAAACGAUGAGUGCUAAGUGUUGGAGGGUUUCCGCCCUUCAGUGCUGCAGCUAACGCAUUAAGCACUCCGCCUGGGGAGUACGACCGCAAGGUUGAAACUCAAAGGAAUUGACGGGGGCCCGCACAAGCGGUGGAGCAUGUGGUUUAAUUCGAAGCAACGCGAAGAACCUUACCAGGUCUUGACAUCCUUUGACCACUCUAGAGAUAGAGCUUCCCCUUCGGGGGCAAAGUGACAGGUGGUGCAUGGUUGUCGUCAGCUCGUGUCGUGAGAUGUUGGGUUAAGUCCCGCAACGAGCGCAACCCUUAUUGUUAGUUGCCAUCAUUUAGUUGGGCACUCUAGCAAGACUGCCGGUGACAAACCGGAGGAAGGUGGGGAUGACGUCAAAUCAUCAUGCCCCUUAUGACCUGGGCUACACACGUGCUACAAUUGGAAGUACAACGAGUCGCAAAGUCGCGAGGCUAAGCUAAUCUCUUAAAGCUUCUCUCAGUUCGGAUUGUAGGCUGCAACUCGCCUACAUGAAGCCGGAAUCGCUAGUAAUCGCGGAUCAGCACGCCGCGGUGAAUACGUUCCCGGGCCUUGUACACACCGCCCGUCACACCACGAGAGUUUGUAACACCCGAAGUCGGUGAGGUAACCUUUUGGAGCCAGCCGCCUAAGGUGGGAUAGAUGAUUGGGGUG
rnacentral:rRNA from 1 species